AUGAACUCUUCCCCAGGACCAGUAAUUGUACUAUUCUUAAUGUUUGGAGGAAGCAGUGGAGACUCAGUGACCCAGACAGAAGGCCAAAUAAUCCUCUCUGAAGCAGCUUCUCUGACUGUGAACUGCUCCUAUGAAAGCACACGGUACCCUGCCCUUUUCUGGUACGUGCAAUAUCCAGGUGAAGGUCCUCAGCUCCUCCUGAAAGCCGUGAAGGCCAAUGAUGAGGGCAGCAACAAAGGUUUUGAAGCAAAGUAUCUCAAAGAAACUACCUCCUUCCACCUGAAGAAAGCCUCAGUCCAGGUGUCAGAUUCAGCUGUGUACUACUGUGCUCUGCAGGACACAGUGGCAGGAACUACAGGGGGAGCUGAGCACAAACUCUGA